GAAUGUGUGAAUUUAACUGCUGCGCCACCAGGCCGGCCCCUCAUUAUUACUUUUUUAUAUAAAAGAUAAAAAACCAAGGGAGCUCUCCUUUUUGUAUUCAACAUUCCAUUAGUUGAACAUCCUCUACACAUGUUUACAGAAAUAUUUUAUGACCUGAGAAUAACUUCAGAGGUUGAGAGCAUAUUUCCCCCAGUAUUUGCUUUAGAGCUCACUUGAGUAAUCAGCUCCCAGCUUCCAGAACAAAUCUUAGUUUUCUUGAACAGCAGUAUCAUCAGUCAUUCAUUGAUGUAUAUUUGAAUGGAAAAAGUGCCAGGUGUUUCAACUUCAUCCCCAACAGGUUUACAAUCAAACUGUGAGUACUUUGCUGUUGGUUUAGAAAGGUUUGUUUGGUGGUUGGUUGGUUGGUUUUAUGUACAGAAAAGGAAUUCUAUAAUCCCUUGGGUGGAGAUGUGCCACUGGAAAUGUUGCUAUGCUGUGACAAAAAAUGCUGAGUUUACCGUCAUCUGUGGCCAUUGAGAUUUAUCAAUUGUACAUUGAGGUUCCUUGCAUUACAAAUGCAGGGUAUUUUUUUUCUUGCAGGGUAUUCUUUUAAGUUGACCAUGGUAUUGACAAGUAAACGAAAAGCAAUAGGAUAUAUUGGAGAAUAUGAGGAAAGCUUUUGGUGUAAAACUAAUUUGGUCUGACCUUGUUUUUCCAAAAGUGCAUGAACUGGCCUGUUGAGCAUGUGUUACAUAUUUGCUUUAAACAUUUACUAUGUCUCAAAGACAAGAAUGAUGCCCUUAAAGAUACGGAUGUAGCUUCCCCCAUACCGGCAUUUCUUUAAGGAUAAGCAUCUCUUUCUGGAAACUAAGGAUUAAUUACUAACCUGCUGUGCUCACUUUGUGACCACUGACUUGCUGACCACUGACCUGCUGUGCCAGCUAAGCAUCUCGUGGCAGAAGUAAAAGAGAUAUGUCUGUCAUAUGUGAUGUUCGCUCUUUGUUCCAAGAUCUUAUAUAACCACUGUGUACACCCCACUUCUUUGGUGCCCUUUCUUGCCCUGGGCUAUUGUCCUCAAAUCUGGCUCGUAAUAAACUCACCCCAAUUUUGGUUUACAGGUUGGUUACAGAUUAUUCUCGCCAACAGUAUUAAAUAGAAUGAUGUGUGACAAGUGCGUAGAACAGUGCUUAUUGGCACAGAGUGAGUGCUUGCUAAAUGUUAGCUCUCAUCAACAUCAUCCCUUUCACCAUAUCAUCCCACCCAACAAGCAUGGAUUCGGAUAGUACUCCCCAGGCAGCUGCCCUUCUGUAUAGAGUAUACAUGUGAGCAGAGGGCCAGAGGAAGGGAAGAAUUAGACAAAGAAAUUCUUCUCACUUGGUGUGAACUUGCUUACGUGGUUACGUUUCAAUGGAAAAGGAGAUGAACUGAAGGUUCAGCUUCGUAAGGGCUUAAUUUGUUAAGGAGAACAUUCCCCAAAAUGUUUUCUGUGGAAAAUUAGUCCUGCAAGAUCCCCAGAAGAAAAGAGGUCCCUUGUCAAAUAAGUUCAUUAAAUACUAUAUACUUUAGCUCUCCCUCACCUUGCAGAGUCAUAGUAUACUUUAGCACACCAAGCAAGCUGAGAAAUCCCCCAGCAAAAAAACCUAUUUAAUUUUUUAAACUCAGUUUGACAAUGUUCCUUAGCCAUAUAACUCCUUUUUCUUGUGAAGGGGUUUAGAAUGAGCCUCCCCAAAAGGCGCCACUUUGGCAUGCAGAUUACUUUGACCUGAAAUCAGUCAAGACCCAGCAGAUUCCAGGAAAACUUCUACCUCUCCCUUAACUACCUAAAAGAAUUCAGAUAGGGGACCCGGCUCAGAGAGAGUGAGCUGUUACCAGAGAUAACUUUUAUCUGAGAGGCCUAUCUGUAUGGCAGGGCAAACAUCUAAUUACCAAACAUCUGUUCUCCUUAUUGUCCUGUGAAUUAUCCUCCUCCCCUUUGAAGCCCCAAGCCCCUAUCCUAUUCCUUAGCUCAGGAUGGCAUAUAAGCCUCAACUGCCUAUCUUGCCACUGGAUCUCAUAUUCUUAUGGGGCUCCCAUAUGUACAUAAUUAAAUUAGUUUUUCUCCUGUUAAUCUGUCCUAUGUCAAUUUGAUUAUUAGAUCAGCCAAAGAACCUAGAAGGAUAGAAGGAAAAUUUUUCUACCUCUACAGUUGAAACACUUAUUAAUAUCCACUAGUGUUCUACAUGUAGUGGCGUGUCCUUUCCAGGAUAAUUAUAUUUUUUCCUCUUUAGAGAAAGGAGCUGCCAGUCACUCUCCAUAUGGGCAGUCAGAAGGGCAUCCUGGAGCAGGUCUUCAAGAGGCCAUCUCAGUUAUGCAGAUGUUCAUCAGACAGAUGGAGAGAAGUCUACAGUGAGGGUGGGCCAGUCACCAUGAGAAGUCCAGGGAGGGAAGAGACUUAUAUGUCCAACCCCUUUGUCCUGAGAUUUGGAGUUAGAAGGAUCUAUCAAGGUAGAGAGAGUGGCCCUUUUCAAGGCCUAAUGCCAGGAAAGAGUAAUAGGCCCCAUGCAAUAAGAUUACCAAAAGCUUCAAGAGAGGCUGCUCUGUUGGGCCAGCCCUAGCGCUGAGUAAAGAGGAAUGCAGGGGAUGGUAGCAAGACCGACAAUAUAAUUUGUAGUGCCCAGUACAAAAUAAAAAUGCAGGGCCCUCUGUUCAAAAAUUGCUGAGAAUUUCAAGACAACAAAAGCAAAGCAUUAAACCAAGGGUGGGGCCUUUCUAGGUAUAAGACCCCGUGCAACUGCACAGAUUGUACACCCACGAAGCCAGCCCUAUGAAGCCAGCCCUGGAUGGCAGUCUUGGUUUUCUGAGGCUGUGCACUAAAGAACUGUUCUUGCCCUCACUCUUAUAGGGCUGCCUUACUAUGUGACGAAGUAAUUGGGUGUGAAAUGAAAUUGCUCAUCACUAAGAGCUGUAACGAGAUCCAUUGAGUUCUAUAGGUGAGGGCCUGUUUUUGUGUUUCUGAGCCCCGCAGAACUAGUUUGUUGCUGAAGAAGCUGAACCUGACCCAUUAGAAGAUGUCCCAACAGCCUAAAGAAAUCACACCUCGAUUCUGACCGACCUGUGCUGCAGUGAGACCCUGACUGGCUGGAGCCGAGAAGAGUGAGAAGUCAGGGAAGAAGAGAUGCUUUGGCACCCAUUAGGGGGAAAAGGAGGGCAAAAGAAUUUUGUUAGAUUUUAGUUUCUCUGUUGGGACAAGGAAUUAAUUCAUAAGAGUUGGGAGUUUGCAUUGCUAAAUUCUAUAGAUGAUAGUAAAUUUGAUGGAUUUCAUUUAAUUCAUUAAAAAAAUAGUUAUUGUCUAGUAUGUGUUAGGAGCUAGACUUAUAUAUUAAUAUCUGGUGCACACAUUAUAACCUCAUUUGGUGAGUUUGGUUAGAUGACAGGAGAGAGCCUAAUUUGCGAUACAAAUUAUAUCAGGAAUGACUUCUUUGCCUUGCAUGCAGUGUGGCCUUUGGGUAAACCCAACUGAAAUAACAUCCACUUAUUUUUGCAGUUCCAGGGGGCAACAUCAAAGACUUUUAUCAAAAGACUUGAGUGACAGAACUGCUCAUGUCAUUGGUCCCAGGGGGGACAAAUGAGCAGUGGCAAAUAUUGAGAAAGUAGCCUCAGGAAAGUGCAGGCAGGAGUUUUCUGACACUCUGCUGAUUUCCUCCCUUGAGAGGGACAGCUAUUUUCCUUGCUGUCUGAAAGACCACUGGAUGACUCUCUUAAAGGACAGUGCCUGGGGGAGUGUUGGCUACACACUCGAGCCUUCAGGCUCAGGUCACCACCAUCCCAAGGUCCUUUCCAGUCAAGAGUGGAUGAAGAAUGAAAUGGAUUCCUGGGACUGACAUCGUGCUGUGGAUGGUGCUUCUCUUGGGAGGACUAACUGGAUUAAAAGCAGAACUGGACUGGGACAGGCACUCUUGAGAACGCCCCUGGGCCCCUUCUCUUGCACUUGGUGUGUUCUCUGUGGGCUCCCCCGAGGCAGGUGAAGCCCAGGGGCUUGGCAGUCUGAACAAAAGGUGUCCUGAGUUACCCCAUGAGAUCCCGGCUCACCAAGCUCAACCUUUGUCAGGAGUUUUCUGAUUCUAACUAGUAAUAAAGAGUGUGCACUUGC